UACGAAGGGGGCUAGCGUUGUUCGGAAUUACUGGGCGUAAAGCGCGCGCAGGCGGCUAUCCAAGUCAGUGGUGAAAGCCCGGAGCUCAACUCCGGAACUGCCAUUGAAACUGUUUAGCUUGAGGACGAGAGAGGUGAGUGGAAUUCCCAGUGUAGAGGUGAAAUUCGUAGAUAUUGGGAAGAACACCAGUGGCGAAGGCGGCUAACUGGUCCAGAUCUGACGCUGAGGUGCGAAAGCGUGGGGAGCAAACAGG
rnacentral:rRNA from 1 species